rnacentral:tRNA from 1 species
GUUUUAAUAAUUUAAUAAAAAUAUUGAUUUUGUAAAUCAAAAAUAAGUUCUAUCCUUUUAAAACU